CUCCGAGCCCGCCGCCGGGGCCUGGAGCGCGCGCCCGCGGGGCCGCGCCGGGGGUUGGGCUCGAGAGAGGCUGGGAGAGGCCCCGGGGGCUGCAGCCGCCCCUGUCGGCUGCCGCAGCCGAGAGCAUCAAUUCCUCAUUCCCACGCGCGCUCACAGGCCCCGGAGCCGAGCGAGAGCUACCCAGGUCCCGUGCCUCCCCUUUCUCCCCUUCCCAGCCCCACCUCAAGGAGUGCAGACCCCGCUGAAGGGUGCAGCCCAGGGCCGCUGAGCGCCAACACCCUGCGCCACUUCGAGCAAGUCACGUCGCCUCCCAGAACCUCGGUGCCCUCUUCUGCCAGGUGGCGGUGAUGAGAGGGAGCUUGCGGGGUCGUGAAAGGUAUUCAAGGAGACGAGGAAAUUACGCCCAAGGUGCAAAAAAAAAAAAAAAAAAGCCCUGCGCGGGAUCCCACAACCUGGAGCCAGCCUGCCUCUCCACGUCAGACCCUCCAGCUGUCCGAGGCCCUGGGAGGCAUUCCUCUUCCAGGGUGGGGUUCCUCACCGGCUUGUUCAUUCCCAAGUCCGGAGCAGAAACAGAUGAAAUGAUGGCUCGUGCAGGAAGGCGCUUUGCCAGAAGGCCGAGUCCUUCUCUGGUGGGCAGGUUAUUACUAUUAACACAGCAUGUGCUGCUCGGCCAGUGUUUGUGGAACCCAAGCUGGAGGCAGGAUUCGGCGAACUUCUGGGCCAGUGAACAUAGCCACUUGCUGAGAGAGUGGUGCAUCCCAACUGCACAGGGACAGAAGGCAGCUCCUGUACUUGGGACCUUUCCAGGAUCUUGAUCUAGGUACAUUUUCAUCUAGUUGUUCAUUUGGAUCCUUUAUAAUAUCCUUUAUACUAAACUGGGAAAGGUAAGUCGGGUGUUUCCCCGAGUUCUGUGGGUCAUUAUGUCAAAUUAUUGAAACUGAAGGGGGAGGGUCACAGCCAGGUCAGACAGAAGUGUGCGUAACCUGGGGACCCACUACCUGUGUUUUGCAAAAGAAGUAGGGGCAGGUGGGGCUGAGCCCUAACCCGUGGGGUCUGCACUAACUCUGGGUAAUUAGUAGAUUACGUUAAUUUGUAGGACACCCAGUUGAUGUCCACAGAGAAUCAGAGAAUUGUUUGGUGUGGAAAACCCACACAUUUGGUGUCAGAAGUGUUGUGAGUAGAGAGGACUUCCCCGGUGGCGCAGUGGUUGAGAGUCAGCCUGCCA